CCGCCACCGUCGAUGCCGCUGAGGAUAGCCCGAAGCCGCAUCGCAUCGCACACCGGAGUAUCGAAUUGAGCCCAAGCGCAAGUAUCAAAGCGCAGAGCAGAGCAGAGAGUAUGAUCACCAUGUUUGCGUCGAAGUUCAUGUCCCUCAGGUACCCAUCUCCUCCUCCACCGCCAACGUGGGAUUCAAGUAGCAGCCGGUGCAUUCUCGGGUACGAUCGACUAGGAGGCUCCCUCUCAGCUUCGUUAGGUUUUGUGUGUAGAGAGAUACGUGUUAAUGAGGAUACUAGUCAAGUCUAACUGCGUAGUCUCUCUCUCGGUUUGUGGUUAUCUGUUUAGACAAUACCACUACCAUAUAGCAGAAAUUAGGAUGCUAGACAAUAUUUCUGCACCUACUUAAGUAAGAGCCGUACAUUUACUACGGCACUUGUCUCCAGUGUGGCCGGCUUUGUUCGACCUGUAUCGAUUACCACCCGGUCCACCCCUGAGCCCUCUUUGCAGGUUAGUUUCUGGGACCAAACUCUCGGACCAAAUGAUUAUGUUGGACCAUUAUUUAGUGCUGUUUUACCUCUAAAAACCAAACAUAGUGGUGUUUUUAUUAUGGGCCUGUUAAUUUUCCAUGUAAUUAUACCCGAAUAAUUCGGUCUCAUAUUUUCUUUCGGGCUUUACGUACUUAAAAAAAAAUCACUCCCCAUGAACCAUAUUGUAUGCAAAGACUGAUUACUUACUUAAAAAAAAAGUCUACAACUGUAAUAGACUAUCACAACUGCUAGAGCUACCAGGAGCCCAUAAUCUGACAAAUAACUAAAUCAACUUACGACUAAUCACUCUGAGCAGCUUGCUAUAGUUUAGGUUGAUCCUGCCACGUGUAACUCGAUGAGCGAGUGCCGACAAUUGGGACAGGAAGAGUGAGAGACAAGCCACGUGUCGAUACAGGACAUGUGGAAGCUGUGAUUACACGGCGGAAGAACUCGGACCUUCUCACCGUCCGCGAACUCCCCCAGACAGAUGGCGCACUCCGUCGUAGCUAUCUCCACCCCGCUCGACCCGUACGCGGCCACGGGAAACCUCUUCAGUUCUCGCUUCUUCAAUCCGGGCCUGUCUGCCGCCACCGUCGAUGCCGCUGAGGAUAGCCCGAAGCCGCAUCGCAUCGCACACCGGAGUAUCGAAUUGAGCCCAAGCGCAAGUAUCAAAGCGCAGAGCAGAGCAGAGAGUAUGAUCACCAUGUUUGCGUCGAAGUUCAUGUCCCUCAGGUACCCAUCUCCUCCUCCACCGCCAACGUGGGAUUCAAGUAGCAGCCGGUGCAUUCUCGGGUACGAUCGACUAGGAGGCUCCCUCUCAGCUUCGUUAGGUUUUGUGUGUAGAGAGAUACGUGUUAAUGAGGAU
rnacentral:lncRNA from 1 species